GUAACACGUAAGGAACCUGCCCCAAGGAUUGGGAUAACUCCGAGAAAUCGGAGCUAAUACCGAAUAGUUCUUCAGACCGCAUGGUCUGAUGAUGAAAGGCGCUCCGGCGUCACCUUGGGAUGGCCUUGCGGUGCAUUAGCUAGUUGGUGGGGUAAUGGCCCACCAAGGCGACGAUGCAUAGCCGACCUGAGAGGGUGAUCGGCCACACUGGGACUGAGACACGGCCCAGACUCCUACGGGAGGCAGCAGUAGGGAAUCUUCCACAAUGGACGAAAGUCUGAUGGAGCAACGCCGCGUGAGUGAUGAAGGUUUUCGGAUCGUAAAACUCUGUUGUAAGGGAAGAACAGGCAUGAGAGGUAAUGCUCAUGCUAUGACGGUACCUUGCGAGAAAGCCACGGCUAACUACGUGCCAGCAGCCGCGGUAAUACGUAGGUGGCAAGCGUUGUCCGGAAUUAUUGGGCGUAAAGCGCGCGCAGGCGGCCUUUUAAGUCUGAUGUGAAAGCCCCCGGCUCAACCGGGGAGGGUCAUUGGAAACUGGAAGGCUUGAGUACAGAAGAGAAGAGUGGAAUUCCAUGUGUAGCGGUGAAAUGCGUAGAGAUGUGGAGGAACACCAGUGGCGAAGGCGACUCUUUGGUCUGUAACUGACGCUGAGGCG
rnacentral:rRNA from 1 species